rnacentral:rRNA from 1 species
UCAGAGAAGAAUUUUGACGGUAUUUGAGGAAUAAGCAUCGGCUAACUCUGUGCCAGCAGCCGCGGUAAUACAGAGGAUGCAAGCGUUAUCCGGAAUGAUUGGGCGUAAAGCGUCUGUAGGUGGCUUCAAAAGUCUUUUGUCAAAGAUCAGGGCUUAACCCUGGGCCGGCAGGAGAAACUUUGAGGCUCGAGUUUGGUAGGGGCAGAGGGAAUUCCCGGUGGAGCGGUGAAAUGCGUAGAGAUCGG